ACUCCUACGGGAGGCAGCAGUAGGGAAUCUUCCACAAUGGGCGCAAGCCUGAUGGAGCAACACCGCGUGAGUGAAGAAGGGUUUCGGCUCGUAAAGCUCUGUUGUUAAAGAAGAACACGUAUGAGAGUAACUGUUCAUACGUUGACGGUAUUUAACCAGAAAGUCACGGCUAACUACGUGCCAGCAGCCGCGGUAAUACGUAGGUGGCAAGCGUUAUCCGGAUUUAUUGGGCGUAAAGAGAGUGCAGGCGGUUUUCUAAGUCUGAUGUGAAAGCCUUCGGCUUAACCGGAGAAGUACAUCGGAAACUGGAUAACUUGAGUGCAGAAGAGGGUAGUGGAACUCCAUGUGUAGCGGUGGAAUGCGUAGAUAUAUGGAAGAACACCAGUGGCGAAGGCGGCUACCUGGUCUGCAACUGACGCUGAGACUCGAAAGCAUGGGUAGCGAACAGGAUUAGAUACCCUGGUAGGAUAGCG
rnacentral:rRNA from 1 species